rnacentral:rRNA from 1 species
CAGUAGUGGCGAAUGAAGCGGGAAAAGCUCAAGUUUGAAAUCUGGUAGGUAAAACUGUCCAGAGUUGUAAGCUGGAGAGGCGAUGUCCGACGCGGUCCAGGCUCAAUUUCCUUGGAACAGGAGGUCAUGGAGGGUGAGAACCCCGUACAUGGCUUGGGUACCGCCGUCCUUGUGACGCGUCCUCUAAGAGUCGGGUUGUUUGGGAAUGCAGCUCAAAAUGGGUGGUAAAUUUCAUCUAAAGCUAAAUAUUGGCGAGAGACCGAUAGCAAACAAGUAGAGUGAUCGAAAGAUGAAAAGUACUUUGAAAAGAAAGUGAAACAGUACGUGAAAUUGUUGAAAGGGAAGCGUUUGGCAUCAGCCCAUGGCGGUGGUCGAACAUCUGGGCUUCUGCCUAGUGCACUCGGCCGCCGUUGGGCCAGCGUCGGCUCUGCCUGCCGGAGAAAGGCCUUGGGGAAGUGGCUCUCUUCGGGGAGCGUUAUAACCCUUGGUGUCAUGCGGCUGGGCGGGGCCGA